rnacentral:rRNA from 1 species
UACGUAGGGGGCAAGCGUUGUCCGGAAUCAUUGGGCGUAAAGCGCGUGUAGGCGGCUCGAUUAGUCCGCUGUGAAAGUCGGGGGCUCAACCCUCGGAUGCCGGUGGAUACUGUCGGGCUUGAGUACGGAAGAGGCGAGUGGAAUUCCUGGUGUAGCGGUGAAAUGCGCAGAUAUCAGGAGGAACACCAAUUGCGAAGGCAGCUCGCUGGGACGUUACUGACGCUGAGACGCGAAAGCGUGGGGAGCGAACAGG